rnacentral:rRNA from 1 species
UACGUAGGGGGCAAGCGUUGUCCGGAAUUAUUGGGCGUAAAGAGCGUGUAGGCGGUUCGGUAAGUCGGCUGUGAAAGUCCAGGGCUCAACCCUGGGAUGCCGGUCGAUACUGCCGGACUAGAGUUCGGAAGAGGCGAGUGGAAUUCCCGGUGUAACGGUGAAAUGCGCAGAUAUCGGGAGGAACACCUAUGGCGAAGGCAGCUCGCUGGGACGUUACUGACGCUGAGACGCGAAAGCGUGGGGAGCAAACAGG